rfam:Ixodes scapularis strain Wikel colony gcontig_1108379141016, whole genome shotgun sequence.
GUCAGGAUGGCCGAGCGGUCUAAGGCGCUGCGUUCAGGUCGCAGUCCGGAUCUUCAGGGCGUGGGUUCGAAUCCCACUUCUGCCA